GGUUUAUAAAGAAGCGGCGAGAGACUGGCUCAAUGACCCGCUGGCAACCUUCAAAAAGGAUUUGAAAAGGUGCCAAUUCCUGUCCAAAGAAAUAAAUCUUUGGAGCAUAUAAAUG
rnacentral:ncRNA from 1 species